GUGCUUGCACCUUUCAAGCGAGUGGCGAACGGGUGAGUAACACGUGGAUAACCUGCCUCAAGGCUGGGGAUAACAUUUGGAAACAGAUGCUAAUACCGAAUAAAACUUAGUAUCGCAUGAUAUCAAGUUAAAAGGCGCUACGGCGUCACCUAGAGAUGGAUCCGCGGUGCAUUAGUUAGUUGGUGGGGUAAAGGCUUACCAAGACGAUGAUGCAUAGCCGAGUUGAGAGACUGAUCGGCCACAUUGGGACUGAGACACGGCCCAAACUCCUACGGGAGGCUGCAGUAGGGAAUCUUCCACAAUGGGCGCAAGCCUGAUGGAGCAACGCCGCGUGUGUGAUGAAGGCUUUCGGGUCGUAAAGCACUGUUGUAUGGGAAGAAAUGCUAAAAUAGGGAAUGAUUUUAGUUUGACGGUACCAUACCAGAAAGGGACGGCUAAAUACGUGCCAGCAGCCGCGGUAAUACGUAUGUCCCGAGCGUUAUCCGGAUUUAUUGGGCGUAAAGCGAGCGCAGACGGUUGAUUAAGUCUGAUGUGAAAGCCCGGAGCUCAACUCCGGAAUGGCAUUGGAAACUGGUUAACUUGAGUGUUGUAGAGGUAAGUGGAACUCCAUGUGUA
rnacentral:rRNA from 1 species